rnacentral:miRNA from 1 species
CAACCGGCUAGAGAGAGAGAGAC